GAUGAACGCUAGCGGCAGGCCUAACACAUGCAAGUCGAGGGGUAGAAGGAGCUUGCUCCUUUGAGACCGGCGCACGGGUGCGUAACGCGUAUGCAAUCUACCUUGUACAGGGGAAUAGCCCAGAGAAAUUUGGAUUAAUGCCCCAUAGUAUAUAACCUUCGCAUGUUGGUUAUAUUAAAGUUCCAACGGUACAAGAUGAGCAUGCGUCCCAUUAGUUAGUUGGUAAGGUAACGGCUUACCAAGACGAUGAUGGGUAGGGGUCCUGAGAGGGAGAUCCCCCACACUGGUACUGAGACACGGACCAGACUCCUACGGGAGGCAGCAGUGAGGAAUAUUGGUCAAUGGUCGCAAGACUGAACCAGCCAUGCCGCGUGCAGGAAGACGGUCCUAUGGAUUGUAAACUGCUUUUAUACAGGAAGAAACCCUCCCACGUGUGGGAGCUUGACGGUACUGUAGGAAUAAGUAUCGGCUAACUCCGUG
rnacentral:rRNA from 1 species